CUGGAGGUAUCAGAAGUGCGAAUGCUGACAUAAGUAACGAUAAAGCGGGUGAAAAGCCCGCUCGCCGGAAGACCAAGGGUUCCUGUCCAACGUUAAUCGGGGCAGGGUGAGUCGACCCCUAAGGCGAGGCCGAAAGGCGUAGUCGAUGGGAAACAGGUUAAUAUUCCUGUACUUGGUGUUACUGCGAAGGGGGGACGGAGAAGGCUAUGUUGGCCGGGCGACGGUUGUCCCGGUUUAAGCGUGUAGGCUGGUUUUCCAGGCAAAUCCGGAAAAUCAAGGCUGAGGCGUGAUGA
rnacentral:rRNA from 1 species